rnacentral:rRNA from 1 species
UUACGCCUGAAAGAUAUCUGCUCAACCCAGAUCGUCUUGAUGCCAAACUCUAGCCCAACCUACAUUGACCCGGAAUAACAAAGUCACUCCCCACCCUAAACUAAAGCAUUUACUAGUCCCAGUAUAGGCGAUAGAAAAGACCACAUGGCGCGAUAGAGAGCACGUACCGUAAGGRAAAGAUGAAAUAAUAGUGAAAUAAUCUAAGCUAAAAACAGCAAAGAUCAACCCUUGUACCUUUUGCAUAAUGGUCUAGCAAGAAAAACCAAGCAAAAUGAAUUUAAGUUUGCCAUCCCGAAACCCAAGCGAGCUACUUGCGAGCAGCUAAUAUUGAGCGAACCCGUCUCUGUUGCAAAAGAGUGGGACGACUUGCUAGUAGAGGUGAAAAGCCAAUCGAGCUGGGUGAUAGCUGGUUGCCUGUGAAACGAAUCUUAGUUCACUCUUAAUUCUUCUCCAAGGAAACCCACAAACCCCAAUGAAGCGAAUUAAGGGCUAU